ACUAGGACGUUGAUAGGUUGGAUGUGGAAGCAUAGUGAUAUGUGAAGCUGACCAAUACUAAUUGCUCGUGAGGCUUGACUAU
rnacentral:rRNA from 1 species